CUGUGCACAAAAACUUGCACACAUUAAUUUGAAAGAUGAAUUUGUUUUAGCUUCAGCUCUUUCCUUUUGAAUGUCUGUGAACACUGGGUAUUCACUUAACUUGCACAACUGUUCAUGGAAGAGAAAUGUUAAUUUCAAAUACCUGGGGAGAAUUUAUUAUACUUGGGCAUGCACGUGCGUCUGACUAAAACUGCUAUCACUUACACAUAAUGGUUUACGCUUUCUCUCUACCAAACAUCCGGCUAUGCCAUACUAAUUGUUAAAUGCUAACAACUUAAGUGAACAUUACUAAUUAUGACUGUCACACAACUAAAUCUGAUUUAUUUUAUUUUUUUUCAGAACAAUUGUCUUAACUCCUAGGACACAAAGAAAAGCAAGCUAGAAAGGUAGUUGGAACUUCCGUUUUUCCUUUUUGGAGUUACUUGGUACUGAAGCGCUUCAGUUUAAAUGUGAAAGUUGCGUUUCUCUGGACACUGGUUUUGUAGUACCGACUGCAGCUGCCAUGAACAGAGGAACAUGAAGAGCGGUGUAUGUAAGGGAGCCAUGAACUUACUCCGUAAGAGAGCAUCUCUCAUCCAGAGCCAUUACUGUGGAACUGGCUGCCUGGCGAGGGGUUUUCAGACUGCGUACCCUUUUCAGUCAUGCUCAGAGUUCUUGUCCUGUGAGCCUGUCCAGGAUCCAGCAAGGUACCUGUGAACAGAAAGGGAAAUGUGACCGUCCCAGCAUGCAGCCUGUUACUGGCCUCUCAGAAAACUUCUUGGGGCACAGGACCAAUUCGACAUGGGUCUUUGUAGUGUGUAAACAGAGAAUGCUGUUGCUCCAGCUUGUCGUCUGCAGGGAAAGAACAAGGUCAAGAAAAAGCACAUCAGCCAUAUGUUGUUAAACCCGUGGGUAACUGUACGUUCUGCCACAAAAGAAAA